rnacentral:rRNA from 1 species
GACGAACGCUGGCGUCGUGCUUAACACAUGCAAGUCGAGCGGUAAGGCCCUUUCGGGGGUACACGAGCGGCGAACGGGUGAGUAACACGUGGGUGACCUGCCCUCAGCUCUGGGAUAAGCCCGGGAAACCGGGUCUAAUACUGGAUAUGACUCCAUGACGCAUGUUGUGGGGUGGAAAGCCUUGUGCGGCUGAGGAUGGGCCCGCGGCCUAUCAGCUUGUUGGUGGGGUGAUGGCCUACCAAGGCGACGACGGGUAGCCGGCCUGAGAGGGCGACCGGCCACACUGGGACUGAGACACGGCCCAGACUCCUACGGGAGGCAGCAGUGGGGAAUCUUGCGCAAUGGCGAAAGCCUGACGCAGCGACGCCGCGUGAGGGAU